rnacentral:lncRNA from 1 species
CCAAGCUGCUCAUAAUUUAGUAAGUGACUGAAAGGCGUUCACCAUCAUUUCUUACACUGUCCCCACAGGAAACCAUGUCUCUGUAACACUCUCAGGUCUCUAAUCCAUGUAUUUGUAGCCUCUUCUGCCUAUAAAGUAGGCAGAAGACCUCAAGACGACAAAAGGGCAGCCACACAGCCAACAUCACCAUAACUCUGCUGGACAAGAUGAAGUUCAUCGCCUUCAGUUUCAAGGAUACAUUAACAGAGUGACUAUCUCCAAGAUGUGGAACUAAGUUCUGAGGCCUGCAGUGAGCUUCAUCCUGAGCUCUCUUUCCCAGAAGCCAUACAAGGAAAUGUUUUCACCCCCAUACUCAGAGCAGAUUGGAGUGGGAAUUGCCCCCAAGAAACCACACCACAAAGAUGGAGUGGUUAUAAAAAACAUGCCAAUCAACCGCCCAGAUCCCAGCUCACCAGAUCUGUCAGGGGGCCAAUCCACUCUCAGUGUUCUGGGGAGGAAAAUGCUCAUUCUCAUUUAUUGGGAGAACUGAAAGUAGAGCUUUGGCUAAAAGUAUCUUCGCCUCCAACAGCCACUUUUUAAUCCCUUUGUCUGGAGUAUGAAGUGAGUUCCCAGAACACAGAGGUUAUUAAUAACUGUGGGACCUUUUCCCAGUCUCCAGAUCAAUUGGCAGAAACCUUUGGUUAUUUCCUUCUGGAUGCUUCUAUUAUUUAGAGCUCGGAUGUGACCUCCUCCUCAAAAACUGCCCAGAUCUUUGCUCAGCUUGGGAAUCACACAGUGACCUUGCAGCCUCCAACUCACCAAACCAAAUCCAUGAAGUGGCCUUGCCCCCUCCGGAACCUUCCCACAUUUGGCUGCUCCAGAGCAUGGCUCUCCCUUUUGCAGAUGUUGUGAGCUACUGCUGUCUCCAGGGAAGUCCACUGUGUUCCUCUCCUCUGGCCUGGCUCCUCACUGCCAAGUGCUGUCCAGAGUGUUGACAGGGAUCCAUGGAGUAGCCUGAUCUAAAUGAGGUCACUUUGAGCAGUCUCCUCUCCUAUUUAGUGGAGGCCCCAGUCAGCUGGGAAGCAAGAGCAAGGUCUUGAUUUGGGGGCCUUGGGAUGGGUAUUUCUCCUAGAGGAACUGCUGUGGUCAGUAGCCCCCGUGGCCAGAGCCCGUCAUAGAUGCACAUCAGCCUCCUCCGCUUCCUCUCUCACCCUUCCUGGCCCAGCCUCGCACAUGGCUUUUCCAGGAUCUCAUACAGGAAACGGCAGCUGUUCUGAUUCUCAGCUGUUUCCAAAUCACCAGAAAGCCCACCUGCCUGCUGGCCAUAUCAUAAGCUUGACCACGGACGCUCUGAACCCCGCUGGGCUCAAUGGGAUGGCAGGCCUGGGGGGGCCUCCUGGCUACAUUCAGG